ACGCUGGCGGCGUGCCUAAUACAUGCAAGUCGAACGAGAGCGACCGGUGCUUGCACUGGUCAAUCUAGUGGCGAACGGGUGAGUAACACGUGGGUAACCUGCCCAUCAGAGGGGGAUAACAUUCGGAAACGGAUGCUAAAACCGCAUAGGUCCUUUAACCGCAUGGUUGAAGGAGGAAAAGAGGCGCAAGCUUCUGCUGAUGGAUGGACCCGCGGUGCAUUAGCUAGUUGGUGAGGUAACGGCUCACCAAGGCCGUGAUGCAUAGCCGACCUGAGAGGGUGAUCGGCCACAUUGGGACUGAGACACGGCCCAAACUCCUACGGGAGGCAGCAGUAGGGAAUCUUCCGCAAUGGACGCAAGUCUGACGGAGCAACGCCGCGUGAGUGAAGAAGGUUUUCGGAUCGUAAAACUCUGUUGUUAGGGAAGAACAAGUGCUAGAGUAACUGUUAGCGCCUUGACGGUAUCUAACCAGAAAGCCACGGCUAACUACGUGCCAGCAGCCGCGGUAAUACGUAGGUGGCAAGCGUUGUCCGGAUUUAUUGGGCGUAAAGCGAGCGCAGGCGGUUCCUUAAGUCUGAUGUGAAAGCCCCCGGCUCAACCGGGGAGGGUCAUUGGAAACUGGGGAACUUGAGUGCAGAAGAGGAGAGUGGAAUUCCAUGUGUAGCGGUGAAAUGCGUAGAUAUAUGGAGGAGCACCAGUGGCGAAGGCGACUCUCUGGUCUGUAACUGACGCUGAGGCUCGAAAGCGUGGGUAGCAAACAGGAUUAGAUACCCUGGUAGUCCACGCCGUAAACGAUGAGUGCUAAGUGUUGGAGGGUUUCCGCCCUUCAGUGCUGCAGUUAACGCAUUAAGCACUCCGCCUGGGGAGUACGACCGCAAGGUUGAAACUCAAAGGAAUUGACGGGGACCCGC
rnacentral:rRNA from 1 species